rnacentral:rRNA from 1 species
CAGUCGCCACGGUAAUACGUAGGGUGCAAGCGUUAAUCGGAAUUACUGGGCGUAAAGCGUGCGCAGGCGGUUUGUUAAGACAGAUGUGAAAUCCCCGGGCUCAACCUGGGAACUGCAUUUGUGACUGGCAAGCUAGAGUCUGGCAGAGGGGGGUGGAAUUCCGCGUGUAGCAGUGAAAUGCGUAGAUAUGCGGAGGAACACCGAUGGCGAAGGCAGCCCCCUGGGCCAACACUGACGCUCAUGCACGAAAGCGUGGGGAGCAAACAGGAUUAGAUACCCGCGUAGUCCCUGUCUCUUAUAC